UGUUGUUCAUCUGACUAUUCGAGACUUGACUGUUGGUGGGAUAUGCAGAUAAGCAAAGUUAUAUAUCUCAAGGGAGACAGAGGUCAAAAAUCUCCACGACAAACAGCAGCUCACUUCUUGCUCUAGAAAAUUUCAUAAAAUUUUAAACAUUUCCACGCAGUUCACAUCGAGAAAAAGAGCAGAACGUCGCAAAGUAAAGAAAGCGGAACGUCCCUUGAAAAUUGUGGAGGAGCCUGAAACGCAGGGAAAGUUCGAAGAGGGUAAACUUUUUGUUUUACUCCAAGACGAAUUGCAUUCCGAACACGUGCAAUUUUAAGAAAAAUCCGUUGGAUUUGCUAGCGGGAGAAUUUCCGAGCAGAACGAGACGGACGGAAUGGAGGUCAACAAGACGCAAAGGAAGUUGGUCGGAGGACAGAAAGCGCUCGUUCCGACAAUGGAGAAAAUCGACAAAGGGCUCCGUUUUCAAGAGAACAGGCGAUUUUCUCCUACCUCCGUCCAACCAGCACGUGACGAUAACCACGCCCAGUCGCUCGCAACUAACGACAGGUUGUCAAAAACCAAGAAAGUCUUCCCGUGCAAAA